GCCCUCGUGGUGUAGUGGUCAGCACGCUCGACGCGUAACCGAGAGGUCCGGGGUUCGAUUCCCGGCUGUUGUA
rnacentral:tRNA from 1 species